UACGUAGGGUGCGAGCGUUAAUCGGAAUUACUGGGCGUAAAGCGUGCGCAGGCGGUUCGUUGUGUCUGAUGUGAAAGCCCCGGGCUCAACCUGGGAAUGGCAUUGGAAACUGGCGAGCUGGAGUGCGGCAGAGGGGGAUGGAAUUCCGCGUGUAGCAGUGAAAUGCGUAGAUAUGCGGAGGAACACCGAUGGCGAAGGCAAUCCCCUGGGCCUGCACUGACGCUCAUGCACGAAAGCGUGGGGAGCAAACAGG
rnacentral:rRNA from 1 species